UGGGGAAUAUUGCACAAUGGGGGAAACCCUGAUGCAGCGACGCCGCGUGAACGAAGAAGGUAUUCGUAUCGUAAAGUUCUGUCCUAUGGGAAGAUAAUGACAUUACCAUAGAAGAAAGCUCCGGCUAAAUACGUGCCAGCAGCCGCGGUAAUACGUAUGGAGCGAGCGUUGUCCGGAAUUAUUGGGGGUAAAGGGUACGCAUGCGGUUUAAUAAGUCGAAUGUUAAAGAUCGGGGCUCAACCCCGUAAAGCAUUGGAAACUGAUAAACUUGAGUAGUGGAGAGGAGAGUGGAAUUCCUAGUGUAGUGGUGAAAUACGUAGAUAUUAGGAGGAAUACCAGUAGCGAAGGCGACUUUCUGGACACAAACUGACGCUGAGGUACGAAAGCGUGGGGAGCAAACAGG
rnacentral:rRNA from 1 species